UACGGAGGGUGCAAGCGUUAUCCGGAUUCACUGGGUUUAAAGGGUGCGUAGGUGGGCUGGUAAGUCCGUGGUGAAAUCUCCGAGCUUAACUCGGAAACUGCCGUGGAUACUAUUAGUCUUGAAUACUGUGGAGGUAAGCGGAAUAUGUCAUGUAGCGGUGAAAUGCUUAGAUAUGACAUAGAACACCAAUUGCGAAGGCAGCUCACUACACGAAUAUUGACUCUGAGGCACGAAAGCGUGGGGAUCAAACAGG
rnacentral:rRNA from 1 species